GCAAUGUUGAUAUACUGAUAAUGAUGCUAGAUGUGUGAUACACCUCUUCUGAGGUGCAUCAUGCAUGGGUGAGUGUUUAUUUUUGUGGGGGUGGCAGCUGAGAAGGAUAUGAUCAAUCACAAAAGUCAUCUUUGUUGUUUGAUAAAAUGAUUGGACACAUCUCACCUGGUGAUGCUGUUCACUUGAGGUAGAGCAGAAGCAAAUGCUCUAUAAUCUCAGCACUGAGCAGCAGCUGAGCCUGCAGAGGUGCAGGUUUUGGAGGCUGUGGUUGUGUCUGAUUCUUUCAGAGCAGAGGUGUUAGAGGAAGAGGAGGAUGUGAAGAAGAGAAUUUUGAAAGUAAUGAGCUUCAAGAGCUCUGUGAUGGAGGGGUUGAUUGGAGAGGGAUUGAUGAGAG
rnacentral:sRNA from 1 species